CCGGCCGCCGGCGCCCGGGCCGGCGCGCGCGGGCGGGGCUGGGUCGCGACGGGCCGUUCCGGGUCCGACCGGUGGGCCGGGUUCGGAUGGAGCCAGGGCCAUACCAGCAGCAUACAGAAGUUCCCAGAGUCAAAUCUGAGCUACCGCAGCAGUGAGUGACCGUCCAGCCCAUUGUCCCUCUGCGGUGACUGGAAGUCCAGGCAGGUGUGAAGGCGCCACCAAGUCAAGCAGCCCAGUCUCAGCCUCGGCCGAUCCUGCGGGGUCACUGGUCCCUGAAACUUGGAGCUGCUAAUCUCCAGGCCAAAACUCGGCCAGUCUUCAGGUCCAUCGACUUCCAGGCCCAGGUCCCCACUGAUGGUCCCUGCAGUCCUUGCACCGGGCCCCCUGCAGUCUGGCUGUGCGUCUGUCCGCAGUCAUCCCCUGCGUGGCGGUGACCAUGAACUCAGGGCCACACAGACCCCACUUUGAAUGUGAAAUUGCCGUUGGCCAUGAAGGCCAACUACCUUUCUGAAAUCGGUUUUCUCGUCUAAAUGAUCGCCGUGAUGCCUCUGCAAGUGAAAGGAAAGAGACCAGGAAUAGUUAUGAGAAGAGAUUGCCAGCAGACUCUCCCUGAGAGGCGCAAGCGGGGUCCUCUGGCUUUGGAACCCAGGACCAAGCCUGGCUCGUGCUCAGUGGUCCCUUCUGCCGAGAGCGGCGCAGAUGCUGCGGCGGUGGCCUCUGUUUCUAGCCGGGUCGGCCUGCUUCUGGCGUCUACGACUUGAUCCUUGCCGGCGGGGCCUCUGCCAAUAUUGGGUACUGGUCAUGUGGGACAUGACGACCCUCUAAGAGUUUACAGUGUUUAAAAGUUCUUACUGAGCUUCUUGUAUAAAUUUCAUGGGGAAAUCAUGAAAUAUUAAACCACCUGAAAUAGUACUUCUUUGUCAAAACACUUCACUGUAACUUCCGUUUAAGGGAAACAUCCAAGCCAUCAAAUUCUGCUUGUGUGUAGUUUCAUGAGACAACGGCUUCAUGCGUGUUUCUGGAGAUUUUUCUUUCGUGCCCCACUCUCAGAACACAGGGCCUUGAAUGUGAUUUUCCGUUCAUCAGAGAAGGUUUGAGUUGCCGUUUUAGUCUGCGACACAUUUCCGCCUUGAGACCCCCAUCCUCGUACCUGUUGACCUUAUGUUGCCAUGCUGCCAUGGACGUCAUUGGGAAAUAAGCAAUACUAACACAGAAUGGGAAGAAUCCCUCCUCCACUACCUGGGAACAGAAGUUUACUAUGCUGUGUCUGGGUCAAAACGGGCCAGACCUGCUGCCUUGAGUCCAGAUCCCG
rnacentral:lncRNA from 1 species